UCUCUCUAUCCUCCGUUUUUUAUCUCCUCGACGAAUCCUCCGAAUCCCUCUCCCUCCGCGAUCUCUUUACCCCUUUUCGUCUCCUUCUCCGGCGAUGUCCUCCGCCGCCUCCGCCGCCGGGGCGUCGCCGCCGACGAAGCUCUGCUUCUGCCACCAGUGCGAGCGCUCCGUCUCCGUCUCCCCUCUCCCCGACGGCGACGUCUUCUGCCCCCUCUGCUGCGGCGGCUUCGUCGAGGAGCUCGACACCUCAAACCCUAACCCUAACCCUAACUCCAACCCUAGGCAGGUGUUGUCCUUCACCACCUCCGACCCCUUCUUCCUCGCCCCUUCCCCGUCGCCUCUCCCCUUCUUCUUCCCCCCCUCCUCUUCCCCCUCCCCCGCUAGCUUCGACCUCCGCCACCCCAGCGACAUCGCCUCCUUCUUCGGCUCCGAUCCCUCUGCCCUACGCUCCUUCACCUCCCCCCCCGGCGGCGCCGCCAUCUCCUUCGGCGGCGGCGGCCCAACGCAGCCCUUCAACCCCUUCGCCUUCCUCCACGACCACUUCCACCACCUCCUCUCCGGCGGGGCCAGCAUCCAGGUCGUCCUCGAUGGGGGCGGAAACGUCGGCGGAAACCUCGGCGACUACUUCCUCGGCCCCGGCCUCGAGCAGCUGAUCCAGCAGCUCGCCGAGAACGACCCCAACCGUUACGGAACCCCGCCGGCGUCUAAAUCCGCUGUCGCGAACCUCCCCGACAUCAAGAUCUCUUGCGAUCUGCUCGAUUCCGGCGAGGCGCAGUGUGCGGUGUGCAUGGACGCCUUUGAGAUCGGCUCCGAGGCGAAGCAGUUGCCGUGCAAGCACAUCUUCCAUAGGGAUUGCAUCCUCCCGUGGCUCGAGCUGCAUAGCUCGUGCCCGGUGUGCAGGUACCAGCUGCCCGCUGAUGAUCCGGGUUACGAUCAACAUAGGGGGGCGGCAGCGGCAGCGGCAGCACCGGCCGCUGGUCCUGCAGGUAGAGGAGCCCCGGGCGGUGGGAACUCGCCGGGGCCUCGGAUAGUGGAGAGGAGGUUUAGGAUCUCCUUGCCGUGGCCGUUCAGGGCUUUUGGAUCACAAGCUGAGGCUAGCAAUGCUGGUGAUGGUGGUGGAGGAGGAGUUGGUGGUGGUAAUGCGAAUUCUGGGGGACCAGGGAAUGCCGGGUCAGAAACUAGGCAAGAUGAUUUGGAUUGAAGAUAGUUGGAGUGCUAUAUCUGGAGGCCAGAGCCAUAAAUCUUAGUUGGGUAGACACAAGGACCAAGGAUGGAUGUAGAGUUUUAUAUUUGGAGGAGCCUAUCAGGAGUGACAUGAUCAGAUAGUGUUCCCUUAGCAUGUGACAACGCCAGUGAUUGACAGAUGAUAGGGGCCUGAGAUCGAGGAGACAGCUUACAUGGUCAACUAUUUGGCCUGCUUCCUUUCGAAUUCAAGAUUUCAACCCGGCGAGGGCAAAGCUGUCCACAACCCGGAGGAUGACUUUCACCUACAUCCUCCAAGGUACUGUUAAAUAUAAUUAGGAGUCUAAAGUGCUAUUUGGUUUCCUAUGUUUUUGAUCUUGGUGGAAGUGUGGGAAUCUGUUGAUCCAUUUCUGAGCUGCAAGAGAACACGGGGGAAGAGAUCGGUGAAUAGCUGUGUUUAUUUCAGUUCUUUCGUCUUGGAUUUGAUGUUGGAUCAAACAUUAUCGAAACAUUUUAACUUUUUUUCAUUAGAUUUUUUUUUUUUUUUAUUUUUGGGUUAUAUUGUUGAUGCCUUUUCAAGUUGAAUCUGCACUGUACAGAAUUUCGAUCAUAUCAACUCUUUAAUCAUUUUGGAUUUACAUAGGAUACGAAGAAUUUACGAUCUCCA